CCCAAAGUCAUGGUUAAGUGGGAAACGAUGUGGGAAGGCCCAGACAGCCAGGAUGUUGGCUUAGAAGCAGCCAUCAUUUAAAGAAAGCGUAAUAGCUCACUGGUCGAGUCGGCCUGCGCGGAAGAUGUAACGGGGCUAAACCAUGCACCGAAGCUGCGGCAGCGACACUAUGUGUUGUUGGGUAGGGGAGCGUUCUGUAAGCCUGUGAAGGUGUACUGUGAGGUAUGCUGGAGGUAUCAGAAGUGCGAAUGCUGACAUAAGUAACGAUAAAGCGGGUGAAAAGCCCGCUCGCCGGAAGACCAAGGGUUCCUGUCCAACGUUAAUCGGGGCAGGGUGAGUCGACCCCUAAGGCGAGGCCGAAAGGCGUAGUCGAUGGGAAACAGGUUAAUAUUCCUGUACUUGGUGUUACUGCGAAGGGGGGACGGAGAAGGCUAUGUUGGCCGGGCGACGGUUGUCCCGGUUUAAGCGUGUAGGCUGGUUUUCCAGGCAAAUCCGGAAAAUCAAGGCUGAGGCGUGAUGACGAGGCACUACGGUGCUGAAGCGACAAAUGCCCUGCUUCCAGGAAAAGCCUCUAAGCAUCAGGUAACAUCAAAUCGUACCCCAAACCGACACAGGUGGUCAGGUAGAGAAUACCAAGGCGCUUGAGAGAACUCGGGUGAAGGAACUAGGCAAAAUGGUGCCGUAACUUCGGGAGAAGGCACGCUGAUAUGUAGGUGAAGCGACUUGCUCGUGGAGCUGAAAUCAGUCGAAGAUACCAGCUGGCUGCAACUGUUUAUUAAAAACACAGCACUGUGCAAACACGAAAGUGGACGUAUACGGUGUGACGCCUGCCCGGUGCCGGAAGGUUAAUUGAUGGGGUUAGCGGUAACGCGAAGCUCUUGAUCGAAGCCCCGGUAAACGGCGGCCGUAACUAUAACGGUCCUAAGGUAGCGAAAUUCCUUGUCGGGUAAGUUCCGACCUGCACGAAUGGCGUAAUGAUGGCCAGGCUGUCUCCACCCGAGACUCAGUGAAAUUGAACUCGCUGUGAAGAUGCAGUGUACCCGCGGCAAGACGGAAAGACCCCGUGAACCUUUACUAUAGCUUGACACUGAACAUUGAGCCUUGAUGUGUAGGAUAGGUGGGAGGCUUUGAAGUGUGGACGCCAGUCUGCAUGGAGCCGACCUUGAAAUACCACCCUUUAAUGUUUGAUGUUCUAACGUGGGCCCCUUACCGGGGUUGCGGACAGUGUCUGGUGGGUAGUUUGACUGGGGCGGUCUCCUCCUAAAGAGUAACGGAGGAGCACGAAGGUUGGCUAAUCCUGGUCGGACAUCAGGAGGUUAGUGCAAUGGCAUAAGCCAGCUUGACUGCGAGCGUGACGGCGCGAGCAGGUGCGAAAGCAGGUCAUAGUGAUCCGGUGGUUCUGAAUGGAAGGGCCAUCGCUCAACGGAUAAAAGGUACUCCGGGGAUAACAGGCUGAUACCGCCCAAGAGUUCAUAUCGACGGCGGUGUUUGGCACCUCGAUGUCGGCUCAUCACAUCCUGGGGCUGAAGUAGGUCCCAAGGGUAUGGCUGUUCGCCAUUUAAAGUGGUACGCGAGCUGGGUUUAGAACGUCGUGAGACAGUUCGGUCCCUAUCUGCCGUGGGCGCUGGAGAACUGAGGGGGGCUGCUCCUAGUACGAGAGGACCGGAGUGGACGCAUCACUGGUGUUCGGGUUGUCAUGCCAAUGGCACUGCCCGGUAGCUAAAUGCGGAAGAGAUAAGUGCUGAAAGCAUCUAAGCACGAAACUUGCCCCGAGAUGAGUUCUCCCUGACUCCUUGAGAGUCCUGAAGGAACGUUGAAGACGACGACGUUGAUAGGCCGGGUGUGUAAGCGCAGCGAUGCGUUGAGCUAACCGGUACUAAUGAACCGUGAGGCUUAACCUU
rnacentral:rRNA from 1 species